rnacentral:rRNA from 1 species
ACGAACGCUGGCGGUGUGCUUAACACAUGCAAGUCGCGCGAGAACGACUCCUUCGGGAGGCUAGUAAGGCGGCGACGGGUGAGUAACACGUGAGCGAUCUACCCGACGUGGGGGACAACCCAGGGAAACCUGGGCUAAUACCGCGUACAGCGCUGGGAGUGAAGACCCGGCGUGAAAGCUGGCCUCUCCAUGGAAGCUAGCGCCGUCGGAGGAGCUCGCGGCCUAUCAGCUUGUUGGUGGGGUAACGGCCUACCAAGGCUAUGACGGGUAGCUGGCGUGAGAGCGCGAGCAGCCACACUGGGACUGAGACACGGCCCAGACUCCUACGGGAGGCAGCAGUGGGGAAUAUUGCGCAAUGGGCGAAAGCCUGACGCAGCGACACCGCGUGGGGGAGGAAGGCCUUAGGGUUGUAAACCCCUGUCAGACGGGACGAACCGUAUGUCGGCGAAUACCCGGCGUGCCUGACGGUACCGGUCAGAGGAAGCUCCGGCUAACUCCGUG